rnacentral:rRNA from 1 species
GGGCGAACGAAGAACCUUACCUGCCUCUGGAAAUAAGUGGAAUCGCUGUGAAAAGCGAGUUUCCUUUCGGGACUCUUAUACAGUGCUGCAUGGCUGUCGUCAGCUCCUGCCGUGAGGUGUUGGGUUAAGUCCCGCAACGAGCGCAACCCCUGUCCUUAGUUGCCAGCAGGUUAGGUUGGGGACUCUGAGGAAACUGCCCGGCUAAAUGCAGGAGGAAGGGGGGGAUGACGUCAAGUCAGUAUGGCCCUUACUACCAGGGCUGCACACGUGCUACAAUGGGGGGUACAAUGGGACGCAAUGCCGCGAGGCGGAGCAAAUCCACAAAACCUCUCUUAGUUCAGAUUGUAGUCUGCAACUCGACUACAUGAAGUUGGAAUCGCUAGUAAAGGCGUAUCAGCUACGACGCCUUGAAUACGUUCCCGGGCUCUUGUACACACCGA